UACGUAGGGGGCAAGCGUUGUCCGGAAUCAUUGGGCGUAAAGAGCGUGUAGGCGGCUGGUCAAGUCUGGUGUGAAAGCCCGGGGCUCAACCCCGGAAGUGCAUUGGAAACUAGCCAGCUAGAGCGCGAGAGAGGAGGGUGGAAUUCCUGGUGUAGCGGUGAAAUGCGUAGAUAUCAGGAGGAACACCGGCGGCGAAGGCGGCCCUCUGGCUCGUUGCUGACGCUGAAACGCGAAAGCGUGGGGAGCAAACAGG
rnacentral:rRNA from 1 species